CAGCCGCCGCGGUAAUACCAGCACCUCGAGUGGUCAGGAGGUUUAUUGGGCCUAAAGCAUCCGUAGCCGGUUGCAUAAGUUUUCGGUUAAAUCUAUGCGCUUAACGUAUAGGCCGCCGAAAAUACUGUGCAGCUAGGGAGUGGGAGAGGUACACGGUACUCGAUAGGAAGGGGUAAAAUCCUUUGAUCUAUUGAUGACCACCUGUGGCGAAGGCGGUGUACCAGAACACGUUCGACGGUGAGGGAUGAAAGCUGGGGGAGCAAACCGGAUUAGAGACCCCCGUAGUCCCUGUCUCUUAUAC
rnacentral:rRNA from 1 species